rnacentral:rRNA from 1 species
AUUGAACGCUGGCGGCAUGCCUUACACAUGCAAGUCGAACGGCAGCACGGGUGCUUGCACCUGGUGGCGAGUGGCGAACGGGUGAGUAAUACAUCGGGACGUACCUUAUCGUGGGGGAUAACGCAGCGAAAGUUGCGCUAAUAUCGCAUACGCCCUGAGGGGGAAAGCGGGGGACCGUAAGGCCUCGCGCGAUUAGAGCGGCCGAUGUCUGAUUAGCUUGUUGGUGAGGUAAAAGCGCACCAAGGCGAUGAUCAGUAGCUGGUCUGAGAGGACGAUCAGCCACACUGGGACUGAGACACGGCCCAGACUCCUACGGGAGGCAGCAGUGGGGAAUUUUGGACAAUGGGGGCAACCCUGAUCCAGCAAUGCCGCGUGAGUGAAGAAGGCCUUCGGGUUGUAAAGCUCUUUUGUCAGGGAAGAAACAGCAGCUCUAACACAGUCUGCGAAUGACGGUACCUGAAGAAUAAGCACCGGCUAACUACGUGCCAGCAGCCGCGGUAA